rfam:Triticum aestivum genome assembly, contig: Triticum_aestivum_CS42_TGACv1_scaffold_146569_2BS
CAAGUACUCCCUCCGUCCGGAAUUACUUGUCAUCAAAAUGGAUGUGUCUAGAACUAUAAUACAUCUAGAUACAUCCAUUUCAAUUGUAAGUAUUUACGGACAGAGGGAGUACAAG